rnacentral:sRNA from 1 species
UAGGGAUAGUCGUGGAAAUCCUUUUGUGAGGCACGAACAAAAGAUUGAAACAAUAGCCCGGCCGAAG